rnacentral:lncRNA from 1 species
UCCGAAAUAUCCCUCCGUAAAAGUUUUACCAAAAGCCGGUUCAGUUAUAUAAUCUCGGAUCUUUUUGGAUAAUACAAUUUUACUUAUACCGUUUCUGGUUACUUCGGAUCCGACUCAAAGAUCCUUCCUAUUCCUAUCCCAAACAAACCCUUAUUCUUACUCUCCUUCUUUCAAAAUCACAUACACUACAUCAUUUAUCUUAUCUAGGGUACACAUAUUAUUAUUUUCAAUUUUUCAAAAGUAAAAUUUCAAGGAGAGGUUGGGUAUCCUGUAUAAGUGGGCCCAUACGUCAUACUUUCUCUUUCUAUCUCGAUAUUGGAGACAACGACAGAGGAUAGUUUAAAUGCAACUCUCACAACCUUUUAAUAAUAAGGAAAUACAUUUGCUACGCGAAGUGAAGAGAAGAAUAUAAUUGGCAGAGGAAGAAAAGACCCGAAGUGAAGCGGAAGGAUCUCGACUUUUCCGAGUUAUUCGUUUAAUCAGCACUUCGAAGGUUCAUGAAAGUAGAUGGAAGGUCUCAUUGUGUGGAAGAAGUUGUGAGUUUGGAUCUUAUGGAGUAUUUGGAGGAGAGGGGAGGGGUAGUUCUCUCGGAGUCCAUCCGUUGACUGAGAGAGGAGGCCGGAGGAGAUCAUAUCUAAUUAUGAAUACAUUGCAUGUGCAAAUUCGUACUGGCGUUUUUCUUCUUGGACAUCGAUGAACUCGGAAAGGAGUGAAUUCAAGGCAUAAUUUAAAUAUUUAUUAAUAAAUAAUCAUGGUUCUUAUUGAAAAUUAACUAUUUGUUACCUAAUAAUAAGGCUUAAUAUCACUAUUUAAUAUUACAUUAAUUAUCACUUGGUUUUGUGAUGAUUUUAUCGAUCCCUAAUUCUUGGAAUAAGUUUACAGGUAGGAUUAUACAAUCAUAGUAGUUUUUAUUGUAAUAUUAGAAUAAUAGUAAAUAAGCAAUAAUUAAAAAAUAAA